rnacentral:rRNA from 1 species
ACGGGUGAGUAACGCGUGGGAACGUGCCUUUCGGUUCGGAAUAACUCAGGGAAACUUGAGCUAAUACCGGAUACACCCUUCGGGGGAAAGAUUUAUUGCCGAAAGAUCGGCCCGCGUCCGAUUAGCUAGUUGGUGAGGUAAUGGCUCACCAAGGCGACGAUCGGUAGCUGGUCUGAGAGGAUGAUCAGCCACACUGGGACUGAGACACGGCCCAGACUCCUACGGGAGGCAGCAGUGGGGAAUAUUGGACAAUGGGCGCAAGCCUGAUCCAGCCACGCCGCGUGAGUGAUGAAGGCCCUAGGGUUGUAAAGCUCUUUCGCCAGGGACGAUAAUGACGGUACCUGGAUAAGAAGCCCCGGCUAACUUCGUGCCAGCAGCCGCGGUAAUACGAAGGGGGCUAGCGUUGUUCGGAAUCACUGGGCGUAAAGCGCACGUAGGCGGAUCUUUAAGUCAGGGGUGAAAUCCCGAGGCUCAACCUCGGAACUGCCUUUGAUACUGGAGGUCUAGAGUCCGGGAGAGGUGAGUGGAACUGCGAGU